UUAUUAUUUUAUUUUCGUUCCAACUCUGUGUUACGAGCUGAACUUCCCGCGGUCUCCACGGAUACGGAAGCGCUUCUUACUGCGCCGACUGCUUGAGAUGCUGUUUUUAAUGCAGUUAAUGAUUGGAUUAAUACAGCAGUGGAUGGUUCCGACGAUUCAGAACUCAAUGAAACCCUUUCAGAGUGUCUAAUGGCACAAGCCCCGCCCCUUCUCCCUGUCCCUUUACAGGUGCCCAAUCAUUUUAUCUGGCUCAUCUUUUUCUAUUGGUAUUUCCACUCCUCUAUGAACUUCGUAGCUGAGCUCAUGCAGUUUGGAGACCGCGAGUUUUACCGUGACUGGUGGUGAGUGGCGCCCUCCAUCCAGAGCUGAUUCAGGCUUAUCAAAACCUGUAGUAUGUUAAACUACAGUAAU